rnacentral:rRNA from 1 species
GGCAUAUUAAUAAGGGGAGGAAAAGAAACUAACAAGGAUUCCCUUAGUAGCGGCGAGCGAACAGGGAAGAGCCCAGCGCUGAAUCCCCCGGGCCUCGCCCGGCGGGAAAUGUGGCGUUAAGGAGGGUCCGCUAACCCGGACGCCGGCAGCUCGCUCAAGUCCAACUUGAACGGGGCAUCACAGAGGGUGAUAAUCCCGUAGAGCAGACGCUGGCCCUGGGUGGACCUCUCCUCAGAGUCGGUUUGCUUGAGAGUGCAGACCUAAGUGGGUGGUAAACUCCAUCUAAGGCUAAAUAUGACCACGAGACCGAUAGCACACAAGUACCGUGAGGGAAAGGUGAAAAGAACUUUGAAGAGAGAGUUCAAGAGUACGUGAAACCGAACUGGUGUAAACGGACGGAACGGAGAAGUGCGAAGGGGGAGAUUCAAGCCUGCUACCGGCCUGCCCUGGCUCGCUGUGGACGGCGCGGUCCGACCUAACCCCUCGGGGUCUGGAAGGUAACCUCGCUUGCCCGGUGGACUAGGUUCGCGUGGUUGGGAGCGACUGCACUUCUCCCCUUAGUAGCACGUCCCGACUCGUUGGGACUCGGCCUAUGGACCGCAGGAGGCAGACCCGGGAUGCGAAGUGGCUUGUCCGCGGAGCUCCCGGUGACCCUGGGAACACCUGGCGGAGACCCGACGGUAUCGAAUUGCGAUUCGCCGGCUCCUAGAGCCGCCCUGUGCUAGGCUUUCGGGCCGGCACAACUGGGGCAGCAGCGAUCGCGGUCAGGGGCGCAACUGCUCUCUGUAACCGUCCGACCCGUCUUGAAACACGGACCAAGGAGUCUAACAUGUGCGCGAGUCAUUGGGCUUGCGAAACCUAAAGGCGAAAUGAAAGUAAAGGGACAGUUCCGUAAGGACAGUUUCCUGAGCGGUGAUGGCUACGCCCCUGGUGGCUAGCCCGCAACCGCGGGGCGACGGACUGCCGCUUGCGGCGCCGGCGCACCCAGAGCGCACACGUUGGGACCCGAAAGAUGGUGAACUAUGCCCGGCCAGGUCGAAGCCAGGGGAAACCCUGGUGGAGGACCGCAGCGAUUCUGACGUGCAAAUCGAUCGUCGGAGCCGGGUAUAGGGGCGAAAGACUAAUCGAACCCUCUAGUAGCUGGUACCUGCCGAAGUUUCCCUCAGGAUAGCUGGCACGCACUGACCGGAAAAAUGAGCCUGUCUCAUCCGGUAAAGCGAAUGAUUAGAGGCCUUGGGGUCGAAACGAUCUCAACCUAUUCUCAAACUUUAAAUGGGUGAGAUCCCUGCCCUGCCUAGGCGAGGGUGUGGGAUUUAGCCUUGGAAGAGCGUGCCAAGUGGGCCAAUUUUGGUAAGCAGAACUGGCGCUGUGGGAUGAACCAAACGCGAUGUUAAAGCGCCUAAAACGGAGCUUAUGGGACACCAGAAAAGGCGUUGGUUGCUUAAGACAGCAGGACGGUGGCCAUGGAAGUUGGAAUCCGCUAAGGAGUGUGUAACAACUCACCUGCCGAAGCAACUAGCCCUGAAAAUGGAUGGCGCUGAAGCUCCGUGCUUAUACAUCGCCGCCGGGGCAUAAGGUUCGGGGCAACCCGUUCACGAAGCCCCGGUGAGUAGGCAGGCGUGUCGGUGUGCGCAGAAGCGUCUGGGCGUAGGCCCGCGUGGAGCCGCCGGCAGUGCAGAUCUUGGUGGUAGUAGCAAAUAUACCAGAGAGACCCUGGUAGACUGAUGUGGAGAAGGGUUUCGUGUGAACAGCCGUUGCACACGAGUCAGCCGAUCCUAAGCGCUAGGGGAAACCCGAAACAACGCGACGUGCUAACAGAUUUCAUCUUGACGCCGUCCGUUGCGCGAAAGGGAAUCUGGUUCCUAUUCCAGAGCACCGCACCGGAACCGUUCAUCGGGUCCUCGUACUCGUCAGGGUAACCUGAAAUGCCCCGGAGACGCCGUCGGGAGCCCUCGGGAGAGUUAUCUUUUCUGUAUGAGCGAGCGUACUCCCUGGAAGCUUCUAGCAAGGAGAUAGGGAGCGGCUCGCGAAGAGCACCGCACUUGCGGCGGUGUCGAGGGCGUCCUCUCGGACCUUGAAAAUCCGGGUGAGGGCCACGUGGACCUCCGGUCGGUAUCGUACCCAUAUCCGCAGCAGGUCUCCAAGGUGAAGAGCCUCUAGUCGAUAG